rnacentral:tRNA from 1 species
UAGCCGUGUAGCGCAAAGGCAGCGCGUCUGACUCGAAUCAGAAGGUUACAGGAUCGAGACCUGUCGCGGCGAU